AGAGUUUGAUCCUGGCUCAGAUUGAACGCUGGCGGCGUGCCUAACACAUGCAAGUCGAGCGGUAACAGGUGUAGCAAUACAUGCUGACGAGCGGCGAACGGGUGAGUAAUGCUUUGGAAUCUUCCCAGUAGUGGGGAAUAACCAGUCGAAAGAUUGGCUAAUACCGCAUACGUCCGAAAGGGGAAAGCGGGGGCUCGUAAGACCUCGCGCUAUUGGAUGAGCCAAAGUCGGAUUAGCUAGUUGGUGGGGUAAUGGCCUACCAAGGCGACAAUCCGUAGCUGGUCUGAGAGGACGACCAGCCACACCGGAACUGAGACACGGUCCGGACUCCUACGGGAGGCAGCAGUGGGGAAUAUUGGACAAUGGGGGAAACCCUGAUCCAGCGACGCCGCGUGUGUGAAGAAGGCCUGCGGGUUGUAAAGCACUUUUAGUGGGGACAAA
rnacentral:rRNA from 1 species